AAUUGUACUAGAGAGACUGCAGUCUAUGUCACGCUGAUGUGAUCGUGUGGACGCAUUUUCGCUAUACGCUCUACUGACAUCAAUUCUUAUGGCUAAUCGAAACACAUUGCAUGGAACGGCUAGAAGGCUGGGACAGGGCAUUCAAUAUGCGUCAAGCAGAUUUAUUUUGGGUGACAAUAUAGUCACAUUGAGCAGCUUUUGGUUGUCAGACAGUGAGCCGAAUCCAGACGGAGAACUGGUGAAUUGCGUAUACACGAGCAGGGGCUCAACGUCAUGGGUACCUUCGACGAACGUUGUAAUGUUUGAAGAUGCUCAAAAAAAUGUAGCAGAAUAUCACGAUAAUCAAACUGCUGAAAAAGAAGUGGGACCAUCUCAUGAUCAAUAUGGAAAACUCAAUUUUGCGCACGGGAGGGAUUACCAAUAUGACGAAGAACAUGUGGCCGCAUAUUUGAGAGAGUACAAACUUGCCGGAGACCCGCAAUUUUAUCAAAAAGAACUUGAUAUCAAAACGAGAAAUAAGAAAAUGGAUAGUUUUUUCCACAUCAAAAAGAAAUUUCGUCCGUAUUUUACAACAACAGUUUCGUUGAUCAAUAUCAUGUUAUUGAUAUUUGAAUUGAUAUAUGGAAAAGGAUUCGAGUCUCCCUCGAUCAAUCCCAUGCUGGGUCCACCCACGAUCGCAUUACUAGAAAUGGGUGGUAAAUGGGCAGCCGGAAUCAUAGAGUUGUCUCAAUGGUGGAGACUAUUCGUUGCUGUUUACCUACACACGGGGUUAAUACACUUAGCAUUAAACUCAGCUGCAUUCAUUCCAGUCAGCUACACACUUGAAAGAAAAUACGGGUCAUUCAGAAUACUCCCCAUAUACAUUCUUUCCGGUGUAGCAGGAAAUAUAGUUUCCUGCAUCUUUCUUCCAGAUCAAAUAACUGUCGGCGCAUCAGGAGCCAUAUAUGGCUACUAUGGGAUUCUCUUCGUCGAUUUGUUCAAGAACUGGAAGAGAAUUCCGCAUCCUCGGAGAUCUUUCCUCUACCUAUUUGGAACUGUGGUUAUUUCGUUUGCCUUCGGACUCGCUCCAGGAUUUGACAAUUUCUCGCACAUAAGUGGGUUCCUCAUCGGUAUCAUAUCCGGUAUCAUUAUACUACCUUCCCUACACAUAGGUAGAUGGAACAUAAAAUCGAGAAUCAUUCAAGUAUUAACUGCACUACCCAUCCUCAUAGCGCUGUUCGUUGUCUUCACCCAACUACUCUACCGAGGUGUUCACGGCACAGAAUGGUGCAAUUGGUGCAGAUACUUGUCAUGCAUGCCUAUAUUCAAAUCAUGCAGCUCUUUGUACUAGAUACAAUACAUUUUUAUACAAACAAAAUGGCCUCUAUACUGUCUCUUGUUUCAUUUAUUGAAACAAUACAAUUUAUACACUUGGCUUGUGUCAUAUCGCACCGCUUUCUCCUCUAUGACAAAAAAAUAUUUUUUCGUUUUCGUGCUGCGUUAUAUAAAACUAUCAUGCCCCUUAUUGUCACCAAACACUCCCAUUGAUCUAUGUUCAUUCUCCACUGCUCUCAUCACUGCUAUGCCGGCCAUCCAAGUCAUUAACCUCCUGACAUUUGUCUACCCAUGCGGAGUAAACGUCUACCUCCCUGUGAACCUCUAAUGUGCAAAAGAAGCCGGUCAGAUACGUGCUCGCGAACCUCACCUCUGCGUACAUUUUUUACCCUCUUUACAUACUCAAUGCGUGCGUACUCCAUUUCACUUCACAAACUCGACACAUCAGACUUCCAAUGCCAGUGUCUUUAUUUCUGUUUCAAAUAGUCAGCAAAAUAGACUAUAGAGCGACUUCGUGCGAACACAAAAGCUAAAAAAAAAUACACAACUUCGAUUUCUUAGAUUAAGAAGUUUCGUACAUUGAUACCUCAACUGUGUUCUCGUGAUUACAGAACAAACACUUGAAAACUUUAGGGAGUUUUUUAUCUCUCUUUACCACAAUAAUUUUUUGCUUUGAUUUUCUUUUACCCAUCCCUUCUACAAAAUUUGUGUCGAAAACCUAUUUGUUUUUUUUGUAUUAAGGGUCGUGUAUAAAAUUAGAAAAAGGACGCCUGGGUUCUUCUUACCGAAUACGAUUCGAGUUUGAGUUCACAGUAUUGAAGAUAGAUGAGAAUUUUUUUAUUAUAUUUAUUUUCGCAAUCUUGAUAUUCUUCUUGACAUCUUAUAUCUAUGAUGCUCAUUCUCUGCCACAUUCUGAAAAAUAUUUUGGCUAUCCAAAUACUCCAUAUUAUAUUUAUGGUCAUAAGCAUGUACAGCCAGAGAGAGAAAUAUAUCCAAAAUGCGGUGUAUCCAUCGUGAAUUAGAAAUUCGUCAGGUACAAAAAUAAUUGUCUUCAUGAUAUGAAAAGGGUAGAUGUAACAUCGGGAGGUGAACCAAACAAUUGAAAAUAGUAAAAAGCAUAGAUCCUUCAAUUUAUACAUUCCAAUGUAUUUGAGCGUUUUAGCACAUUCCAAAAAAAUAUCGCCUACAUCGUGUGUCAAAAAUACCAGCAUGCCUAUUUUCCAUUGCUGAAAGGUAUAGCUGGAAGCGAUCAAUACAAGACUCAAUAUGUGGUGAAGGGCCAUGAUUGUACGAUCUUUGUAUGUUCUUCGACUGGAAGAAAAUGUCAGUAUAAACGAGAGCAUAUAAUGCCAUGACUGCACUGUGUAGAAGAUCUUGAAACUAAGAGGACAUGGUGGACGUAUGGGCCUCCAACAGUGUUCAAAGUCCCAAAACCAAUGCUCAUGAUAGCACAAGCACAGCCCGGCCACCGUAGCAAUUGUGGAAUAUAUUAGCACGUAGAGAGAUUCUGCACAUGCCAGAGCGUGUUUUUCAGCCGCUACGUGUGAUUUCAACAGUCUCUUUGGAACAUAAACAACAUUUAAAAGGCAACAAAAAAACCAGUGUCAAGUGUACGGCUUGAGGGCUGAUUUAAUUUAUGCAAAAAAGGAGAAAUGAUUUCGGAUAACGUCAUGACACAUACUGGUAAAAAUCUCAAUAUCAGGUUAUACAUGAGGACAAUGUAGAUUAGGGCCCCACUAACAAAGAGGGUUAGUUGUGGCAAAUGUACUUUGCUGAGUGCGUCAAUCCAUUCUAGUUUGAAAGAGUGCCAUUCUACGUAAAAGCGAGGCGCGCUUGGUAUGUUCAUGCUUUUACUUGGCAACAUUCUAUUCCCAUUUGUAGAGGGGUCCUCCAUGGUUCAUAUGUGUGCGUAUGAAGGAGGAAUUAAUAAUAUUGUACUGUGAAAUUCACACUGGAGAAAAUAAAAUAGCAGAAUUCUUUG